CAGCCUAACACCUUAUCUUCUCCACUUGAUUUUUUUUUCUUCUUUUGGUUGAAACCCACCCCAUAAACUUAUCAAACUUUUCUUUAGUUUUAUAAAAUGAUGAAGAACACAGCAUAGAUUUAGAAUAUUGGGUUUGAUUUUAGAGAUUUUGAUGAAAGAAGAAGCCAAAUAGAGGUUGUGUAAUUGUUGUUACAGAGAUGAUUAUGAUUUAUUUACGGUACAAUUUGUAUUAAUAAGGGUUUUGAUUUUUCUUUGAGUUUCAAUUUGGGUUCAAAAUAAAAUAAAAUCAAUUUGAUAGGUUUUCAAUUAGGGGUUUCAGUUGAGAUUUUAUAGGGUUUCAUUUACCGAUUUUAUCGAGAGAAGGAGUUCUUGCUGAAAAUUUACUAAUCUAAUUUGGGUCUACGAAGGUGCAGUGAAUCGUGUUGUUUUUUAUUUAAGUUUCUCCAAUUUCAGUAGUAAUUGAAUCUUGUUCAUCAACUAUUGAUGAUAAUUUAUAUUUACAUUUUUGUGCGAUUUUGUUAUGGUUUCUGUUGAACAUUGUUGUUGUGGAUUAUGAAAUUGGUGAUGAUGAUUGAUAUGGAUUCUUCAAUUUGCAUUGAAAUUGAACAGGUGGGUUGGCGUUUCAAUUUGGGGGAAGAACAUUAAUUAGGGUUCUUGAAGCUAACGGCCAUGUUAACGGUGUUAGUCAAAUAAACUUUUUUAAUUUUUUAAAAUAAUUACUAAACAGAAGUCAAGACUUAACGGGCCAACAAAGGUCAACGUCAUUUCCAAGUACCAACCUCUAAGUUGGAUAAAAGUUAGACCAGACAUUAAAGUUGGACAAAAUAUUUCUAUAGAAGGGAUUGCAUUAAGAUGAAACCGAGUUAUUUGGAAUUAUAAGCCAGUUACAAUUAAUGUGGUAUGAGUGCAGAACGAGAGAUGAAUUUCAUAUGCAGGAAUAAGCCAAUUACAAUUAUUGUAGUAUGAGUGCAGAACGAGGGAUGAAUUUCAUGUGCAACUGGAAUAGAUGUGAGAGCAAUUAUGGAUCGAGAGGGAGCAACUGGACUUUAAGUGAUUUUUUUUCUUUGUUUUGUUAUCUUUAACAGUUCAAAGACUACAUUUUAUGGUCACAGUUUUGCAACUUAGAAGUUGUCAUUUGGUCUGAGUUUGCCCAACUUUUAGUCCAAUUUGGGUUCUCAAUUUAGCGUUCUACGAAUUGGGGAAGAACAUGAUUAGGGUUCUUCAGUUGAAUUGAUAAUCUCACGUGUUAACAGCGUUCGUUAACCACGUUAAGUAAUUAAUUAAUUUUUAUUCUUUUUAA